AUAUUAUUUUAAGAGAUUUGGGUUUUUCUGUUGCAGUUCACUUUCUGUGACUGUGAGAGAAGACAAAACAACCACAGCAACCUUUAAAGAAGAAGAGAGCACAAAGCACAUAAAGAGGACCAAAAGCCGCCAUGCCAGCUAUUUCAUUGAAAGCAAAUGUAAUUUGCAUGCUGAGAUGAGACAGAAGUUCUCAGCCAUAGCUGAAGAAGCAGCACUUUGUUUACAUGACAACCUGGAGAUACUUGAAAGGCGGCGGGAAGAGAAAUGUUCACAGAAAUACCAAGCUUUAAAAAGUAUCAAGUGUUUUGAAAGAGACCUAGAAAGAAUGAGACAAUCUGGAACAAGAGCUGAAAGAGAACAUGAUGAAGAUG
rnacentral:lncRNA from 1 species